rnacentral:rRNA from 1 species
GACGAACGCUGGCGGCGUGCUUAACACAUGCAAGUCGAGCGGUAAGGCCCUUUCGGGGGUACGACGAGCGGCGAACGGGUGAGUAACACGUGGGUGACCUGCCUUUAGCUCUGGGAUAAGCCUGGGGAAACUGGGUCUAAUACCGGAUACGACUCCGCGGUGCAUGCUGUGGGGUGGAAAGCCUUGUGCGGCUGGAGAUGGGCCCGCGGCCUAUCAGCUUGUUGGUGGGGUGAUGGCCACCAAGGCGACGACGGGUAGCCGGCCUGAGAGGGCGACCGGCCACACUGGGACUGAGACACGGCCCAGACUCCUACGGGAGGCAGCAGUGGGGAAUCUUGCGCAAUGGGCGAAAGCCUGACG